rnacentral:misc_RNA from 1 species
GGGAAUAAAUUAGAUGCCUCUAAAUACUUGUUUACAUGGGAUGUACACUCAUACAAAAUUGGAGGGAAAAAAAAUUAUUUAAUCUAUAAAAGAAAAAUAUGUUCACAGAUUAAGCAAACAGUUCAACUUAAAGAUUUUGAUGCUCCUGGAGAUGAUAUUGAUUCAAAAGAAAACUCCAACUCCAACUCCAACAAUCAGACUUUGGCUUGAUUAAUU